CCUCUACCUCCCUAUCUCAUCCGCCUCUCUCUCCCUCUCCCCAUAAACCUCUCUCUCUUCUCCCUCUAGAAAAAUCAUCCCCCACACCGUCGAACAACAUCCAGCAACCAAUCCGCUCAGGCGUCGUCCCUCCGUUCACCAUUAACACUGCCAUGAGCCAUCGUCGCUUCAACCAUCGGAGAAAUUUUUGUCUCUGGUAAAACAACAACGACCAGCGAUGACAGCUCCCUCACUCGCGUCCCGCCGUCCGUUCUCGCCGCUGCCAACGCUGCGCCACCAGCCCCUUCCACCUCUAUCACCAUCUCUCCCUCCAUUUUCCCCUUCCGACAAUGAACCAGAACUCCAUCACCUCCCUAACAUCAUAACAAGACCCCCCUGCUGUCUAACCUCCUUCGCAAACCAACCGUCGCCGCCCCAAGUCAUCUCUGCCAUCUACCCACCAUCAACCUUCUCUGCACCGCUGACCUAUUUCUGAAAAAAAAAGUUGGGCUCUCAAUAACCCAUCCACAGGUUUGUUUACAUGUUAAAGUUGCAUGUCUGAUUAAUGCAAUCCUCUUAUUUUCUUUUCUUUGACAAAGUUUAAGGUUUAAAAUUGACGAAGUUCGAUUGAUAUUUUGGUGCGAUUCUUUAUAAUUCGUUCUUGACUACUUGUUUAGAUUGUCAUGUGUGAUGAACCCUAAUUUCUAUCAAUUGUGGCGUUAGAAAUAAUUUAGCAUACACUCAUGCCUUGACACUUCGUCAUAAUUCCUACAUAGUAAGAUGGAUUGUUGACGUGUUGAUAUGAAUUGGGUUAUUGUUGAAGGAAUAAAUACGUGACUGAUUUUUACUUUGCCUUACACUGAAACUUUAUUAUUUUCUAUUAUAUUUGGUUGAUGAGAUUUCAUGUCGUAAAUAGAUGUUCUACUAAUUGAAGAUUCUCUUAUUUGAUAUGAUGUUAAUUGAUUCAGUUUCCUUGUUGAAAUUGAGACAAUUUUUCCAUUCUUUUGAGUCAUUUUUAGUAAAUAUUACUUGAAUAUUUAUAACUUGUAUGUGAAUGAGAAUAUGUUUAUUGAUUGGUUUGUUGUAUUUUUUUUUAAACAAAAUAAUGAAAUCAUGGUUACAUAUUUAUGGCAGAAAUUUUUCGUGUAAUCUUUCUUAUUUUUCUUUACAUAUACUUGACUGAUUGUGUGUAUACAUUUAUGGUAACUUAACAUAUUUUGUUCCUCUUGGGGAUUCAAUCCGCAGAUUUGAAUUUUUCUUGAAUAUUCUUUUCCCUUUGAUUGAUUGGAUCACUUAUUUAAAGGAAAAAAUUUUCUUAACCGACGAAUUAUCAUAUCUCUCGCCCACUCAAUUGAUUAACUUACUAACUGAUUUUAUAGAAUAUUUUAUUUUUCUUUUAUAUCGACACUGAUUGAUUUUAUUACCUAUUCCUCACCUUUUACUUCUCUACUCUCCCACUAUAUAAACAACUCUUCUUUUCCGUUAACGGACAAGUGACACAAUCAUUACUCUCCUAACAAAAAUCAUUGAUUAUUUUAAUGCAAAAUCAAUUAGAUAUUCUUCUUUGUUUUUCUGGGAGGCUUAGUGGGAUCCCCGCAUCGUAUUCUCACAAGUGUUCGUCUUUAUUAAUUCUAUUAUUUCUUAUUGCUGCUCACCUUUAAGUACCUAAAACAAUGCAAUUUAAUUAUCUAUUUACUUAUUGGAUGCUUUAACAUGUUAGAAAGCAUGUUCAUAGGAACUCUUCUGUGGUGCAUAUCAUAUCAUUGUUUGAUCAUUUGUGUAUAAAAUCAUGCCAUGGUAUCUUUGUUUGCCUCUGUGUUUGCUGUAGGCACCUAAUUUUAUCCCUCCCAAGUCCAAUUUUAUUCAUUUUUACCUCACUUUAUUUUACCCUCACCCAUUCUAUACUUUCCCCACAAGAAAACAAAUACAACAAAUCCUAAAAAAUUAAAUCACCAAUCCCAAAAUAUUCCCUUAUCCUAACUAAUUUUUACACCUCAUUCACACCCUACCCCUACCCUACCCUACCUACCCAUGUGACCCCACCCAUUUCCAUCUCACAUUUUUUCCUUCUUUGUUCAUAAAAAAUUACACAUACAACAAAAAAGAAAGGGGGCCCACAGGAAUUGGGGGAUACAGCUCAUAGGGAUCUUUUCCAUUUUUAUAUACUUCAAAAAUAUACCAAAUUGAAGGAGGAGAAUUAGAGGGGGGCACAAUUUUCACAUACACAUAGACCCAUAUACUCACCACUCUCAAUUGACCAUGGGCAUAGAUGAACACUUCAAAAAAUCCUUACUUUCUCAACAUCCACAUAGAAUAAUCUCAAUGGGUUCUUCAGCAUAGACGCAUAACACACAGUGGAGAAUUUUCUUUUCUUCUCCACCAUCACAGCAACACUCAUUCUCACGAAGGACCUCACCCAUCAUAUACAUACUCUAUUUAUUUUUCCUUUUUCUUGGUCCCAAGAGAACUACACACACUAUUAUAUAUACACACCACUGUCACCAGCAAAGGACCCUCACUGAAGUAAAAUCCACACUGCCAUACCCAUCUAGUGAGAACAAAAAAUAGUCAGGAACAAGAGUGAAUCGUUUAUGAGAGAGGGAGAUUAGAGAUCAGAAACUGAGAAGAAAACAAAAAAAAAAGUAAGGGGAAACCCGAUCAUCUCGCUGGAUUUCGGAAGGGGGUGGUCUAUUUUCACUGGAUCAGAAAUGGGUUCGUUCGUGGUUUGUUUCUGUGUUUCCUAUUUUGGGUCAAACUAGUUUUGGUUUUGGAUUUGUAAUUUGGUUCAAAAUUAUCGAUUUAAGAGUUUGUUUUGCUGGUUUUAAAUUUGGUAUGGAUUGAUUUGCGACGUCCAGGCAAACAACAGCAGUGUCACCCAUUCUUAUCCAAAUCGAUUCCAAAAUCAGUCAAUAUAGGUACUGCAUUUGGUUUUGGUCAGUCUGUUCGUCAUGGUCUGUUACGGGUUGAAAUUUCUUAAAUGCCGAGUUCGAUUUUAGUUUGUUAUGAGGUAUUCUAUUUGGGAUUCUAAGUCUGGGCCUUCUUAAACAUUAUUCUCAAUGAAAUCCAUUCUUUGAAGGUAUAUUUCUAAUCUUUACUCUUUUGACUUCCUUAUUUAUGAUAUUAGGUGCAUGGAUGGUGUGGUAUUGCGUUGUUUGUUGACUGAACAAUUUUGUUGAUAAUUGGUGCUGUUUUACCUGAAUAAGUAGUCGUGAGCAUGAAAUCGAUGAUGAUAUGGAUCGAUAAUUAUUCUUAUGUUUAAACUGUCAUGUAUAAAUUUAGGGAUGGGAAUUGGAGAUUAAUAAAGUAAUUUGAAUCGGUUGUUUGACAUGAAAUCGAUAGGGAUGUAGUUGAAUUAGGAUUAAUUUUGAUUCAUUAUGUUGAACAUAAUAGUAGCAUAAGACAGUCCAUUGUAAGGAUAGGCAAGCGAUAGGGGGUACGCAAAACUUAGGAUUUGUGAUUGUUGAAAGAUGAAAUAUUUAUUGAAUGGUUUUGAUUUAUGCAUUGGGAUCUAUUGUAUUCAUUUGGUCGGGGGAUGCCCCGAGGAAUUUGUAUUGAUUUAUCUAGGGAAUGCCCCAAAGUACCAUGUACUUAAAGAUGACGCACGAUCAAGGCUUGGAACAUCGGGUGGAGAAAACAAGGGAGUGUAGUUUAGAAUUAGCAUAGAAUAGAAUAGGUAUAUAUUUUUUCAUUUUUCUAUUUCGGGAUUGUAAUAAUCGGACUAGA
rnacentral:lncRNA from 1 species